rnacentral:rRNA from 1 species
GGCGGCGUGCUAAUACAUGCAAGUCGAGCGAAUGGAUUAAGAGCUUGCUCUUAUGAAGUUAGCGGCGGACGGGUGAGUAACACGUGGGUAACCUGCCCAUAAGACUGGGAUAACUCCGGGAAACCGGGGCUAAUACCGGAUAACAUUUUGAACCGCAUGGUUCGAAAUUGAAAGGCGGCUUCGGCUGUCACUUAUGGAUGGACCCGCGUCGCAUUAGCUAGUUGGUGAGGUAACGGCUCACCAAGGCAACGAUGCGUAGCCGACCUGAGAGGGUGAUCGGCCACACUGGGACUGAGACACGGCCCAGACUCCUACGGGAGGCAGCAGUAGGGAAUCUUCCGCAAUGGACGAAAGUCUGACGGAGCAACGCCGCGUGAGUGAUGAAGGCUUUCGGGUCGUAAAACUCUGUUGUUAGGGAAGAACAAGUGCUAGUUGAAUAAGCUGGCACCUUGACGGUACCUAACCAGAAAGCCACGGCUAACUACGUGCCAGCAGCCGCGGUAAUACGUAGGUGGCAAGCGUUAUCCGGAAUUAUUGGGCGUAAAGCGCGCGCAGGUGGUUUCUUAAGUCUGAUGUGAAAGCCCACGGCUCAACCGUGGAGGGUCAUUGGAAACUGGGAGACUUGAGUGCAGAAGAGGAAAGUGGAAUUCCAUGUGUAGCGGUGAAAUGCGUAGAGAUAUGGAGGAACACCAGUGGCGAAGGCGACUUUCUGGUCUGUAACUGACACUGAGGCGCG